UAUUCUGGGCUACGCCUUUCAUCU
rnacentral:misc_RNA from 1 species